rnacentral:rRNA from 1 species
ARKGSGSSGUKYCCUWWWMMUGCAAGUCGAGCGGACAGAUGGGAGCUUGCUCCCUGAUGUUAGCGGCGGACGGGUGAGUAACACGUGGGUAACCUGCCUGUAAGACUGGGAUAACUCCGGGAAACCGGGGCUAAUACCGGAUGGUUGUUUGAACCGCAUGGUUCAAACAUAAAAGGUGGCUUCGGCUACCACUUACAGAUGGACCCGCGGCGCAUUAGCUAGUUGGUGAGGUAACGGCUCACCAAGGCAACGAUGCGUAGCCGACCUGAGAGGGUGAUCGGCCACACUGGGACUGAGACACGGCCCAGACUCCUACGGGAGGCAGCAGUAGGGAAUCUUCCGCAAUGGACGAAAGUCUGACGGAGCAACGCCGCGUGAGUGAUGAAGGUUUUCGGAUCGUAAAGCUCUGUUGUUAGGGAAGAACAAGUACCGUUCGAAUAGGGCGGUACCUUGACGGUACCUAACCAGAAAGCCACGGCUAACUACGUGCCAGCAGCCGCGGUAAUACGUAGGUGGCAAGCGUUGUCCGGAAUUAUUGGGCGUAAAGGGCUCGCAGGCGGUUUCUUAAGUCUGAUGUGAAAGCCCCCGGCUCAACCGGGGAGGGUCAUUGGAAACUGGGGAACUUGAGUGCAGAAGAGGAGAGUGGAAUUCCACGUGUAGCGGUGAAAUGCGUAGAGAUGUGGAGGAACACCAGUGGCGAAGGCGACUCUCUGGUCUGUAACUGACGCUGAGGAGCGAAAGCGUGGGGGAGCGAACAGGAUUAGAUACCCUGGGUAGUCCACGCCGUAAACGAUGAGUGCUAAGUGUUAGGGGGUUUCCGCCCCCUUUAGUGCUGCAGCUAACGCAUUAAGCACUCCSGCCUGGGGGAGUACGGUCGCAGACUGAAACUCAAGGAAUUUGACGGGGGCCGCACAGCGGUGGAAGCAUGUGGAUUAUCGAGCAACCGCGAGACCCUACGAGUCUGACAUCUUCUGACAUCUCAGAGAURGG